GCCAGGUGGUCACAUGACACAAUGUGACCACAUGACUGUUGUUAUCAAGCUCGUCCAUGUUCGCGCCUCGAAAAGUACAAAAGUCACCUGGACAAUGGUGACGGACGCAGCGGUGAUGAUUCCGCAGACGAAGCAGCUGGCGCAGAGAGCCAACUCCAGCAGCAGCAGCCCGGUGAGCGCCAUCAUCCAGCGGCCAGCUUCCCCUCCUCUGCCCGGGGAUCAGCGUCAAGCGUUAAGGGGUCGCUGUCUCUCCCGGUCCAAAUGGCAGAGUAGAACUCCCUCAGGGCCACUUCUGAGACCUCGAUAAACCUUUCUGGGACCUGAAUGCAGCAAGACAAAGAACUCAUCUCGAAGGUGGAGCACCACACAGAUGAUGUGGAACAGGAUGGAGCGGCGUUAUCUGUCAUCCUCAUCCCUCUAUCCUCCCCACCACAGUGUUCAAAGCAGAGUGCCAGGAAAAGAGGGGGAUGAAUAGAGGAGGACGAAGAGGCAGGGUGACUUUUUCCAUCCCCUCAACAAUAGAUGGAUGAUCUCUGCUUAUCCUCAAAUCGUAUCCCUCCUUUUUCUACCCUCUACUGCU